rnacentral:tRNA from 1 species
GCCACCUUAGCUCAUGUAGGUAGAGCGGCGCUCUUGUAAAGCGCGGGCGGAGGGUGCAAGUCCUUCAGGUGGCC